UGGGGAAUAUUGGACAAUGGACCGAGAGUCUGAUCCAGCAAUUCUGUGUGCACGAUGAAGUUUUUCGGAAUGUAAAGUGCUUUCAGUUGGGAAGAAAAAAAUGACGGUACCUACAGAAGAAGCAACGGCUAAAUACGUGCCAGCAGCCGCGGUAAUACGUAUGUUGCGAGCGUUAUCCGGAAUUAUUGGGCUUAAAGGGCAUCUAGGCGGUAAGACAAGUUGAAGGUGAAAACCUGUGGCUCAACCAUAGGCUUGCCUACAAAACUGUUGAACUAGAGUACUGGAAAGGUGGGUGGAACUAAACGAGUAGAGGUGAAAUUCGUAGAUAUGUGUAGGAAUGCCGAUGAUGAAGAUAACUCACUGGACAGAAACUGACGCUGAAGUGCGAAAGCUAGGGGAGCAAACAGG
rnacentral:rRNA from 1 species